UACGAUUGUCGACUCACGAACUACUAGGGGAAAGCCGAGUGUUAUAGUGCCCCCUUUCGGCCGGGCGUCGUUCUCUACAUUGCAACGGGUCCAGUGUCGUCGUGGGAUGCUGUUGCGGCCAAGGUGUCUCGAGCACUAUACAAUUGCCUUGUUCGUCGGAGGGAAAUACUUCUCAAAACUAGUUGUUCCAGUAGCUUUCUUGUUACAGCAACUUCUGGGCUGGAAUGACAAUUGAGAGCAAAAUGCAGUAUAUCAAGGAAAGAGUUCUUCAAAAGCUCUGGAGGCCAAACUCCUGAUCUUUCAGAAAAGAUAAAAAAUUAUGCCAAUCAUCUAACGUACUGACUUUCCAAUCAGACUAAGGGAAAAGGGAAACCAAAGGAACAAUCAACAGAGAAAACAUAAAUUGGGGAAAAACCUCGCCCUGUUUUAUUCUUGGCAAACUAAGCAGCUCUUUUGAGUCUUUCAGCCAUGGACUCUCCAUCACCUUUCCAAUGACAAUUGGAAAAGAUAAAUCUCCAAGUGGCCUCAACAACUAAAAGAAUGCAAAUGACCAGCUGUCUGCAAGGAGUAUAAAUCCUUCCAUUCCUUACCAUCCAGUCAGAGCUGAAGAAGCUUCUUGGAUGAGAAACAAAAUGUCUUCAAAGAAAAAAAAGAAAGAAAGUCCAGUUGCCACUUGAAAAAGCACCUUUGGAUUUCCAAUGGAUUUGUGUGCCAGCCAUCACGUGUUUAGAUGAUUGCUAAUAUAGUUCCUGACGUUUUUAAAUAAAAGGGCAAGUACCCAGGAGUUAAACCAGAAACUCUUCAUGAAGUGAUGUAUCAUCAUAUCUACAACUAUUUGGGAAUACUAACAAAGAACAAUUCUACAUUCAAGUUCUACCAGAUGAACUACCUUACAAUCUGUUAUAUCAGCAGGAUUUGAGAGACAUGCCAAUAUAAGAGAUACACCGAAGAAUCAUCUAGAUACAUCAGCAGAACAACUAAGACAAAGAAGUGUUGUGGGCAGCAUGGAAAGGCUCAUAUGAUCUCAGGCUGUUUUAGUCCAUGAUUAUGGUUCAACUCAUGGAGCACUUUUUUAACCAAGCCAAGAACCAGUGCAAGGAUCUUUUUCACCCAUCAACUUCUGUGGCAUUUGAACUCCUCCAUUGGCAGGCACUCACAAGAGAAGUAAGGCUGGUCCUUAAGCACCUUGGAAAGCUCCAAAUGAGGGAUUUGUUGCUUGAAAAACUUGAAAUGCAUCAAGUCCUUUCAGCUGACACUUUCCAAAUUCCACUCCUUCUUUUCCUAACUCUAGGUCUGCUGGAGAAUUUUUUUUAUUUGUUUGUUUGAAGAAAUUUCUGAGAAAACAUUUGCUUCUAAGGAACCCAGCCUUACAUUGUGGCUCUCUGCAAUGCGCUGCUGCUUAGCAAUAGUACUAUUUCCAUUGCUUUGGAGGCUCUGAGAUAUUUUGAGUCAGAAUUCAAAGAGGUGAAGAGGCCUUACAAUGCCCCUAAUGUCAUCCUUUGCUCUUUUAGGUGUACACUUUCCACCUGGCCUGUGAUAUUCUCACCAGAUUUUUCCUUCCUUUCCCUGUGGAGUCACCCAGAAGGCUACAGAAGGGUAUCUUGUGGUUUCGACAACUAUGGUGGAGUAAAAGAUACUUGAUUCUUCAAGCAAACUAGGUUCCUUAUCUAUUUUUACUAAUAGAUAAGAAUUCAGAGUCAUUUGGCUUCAAGGAUCAUAUGUGCUUCAAUGAACAUAUCCAUUCCUAAAGGCAGCUUCAUGCAAUCCUACCCAAAUAAGAGUGAGUGAAGAUUCUGAUGCAUAUUCUAUAACUCUGAUAUGGCUCAAAAGAGUAAGAUCAUUUUCUUGCCAUGUAAUCACAGACAACACAAAAUUACGAGGAAAGAAAGAAAAGCACAGAAGAAACCCGUUUGUAGAACUAACAGAGCACGAUGGAAAGAACAGAUAUCAAUGAAAACAUCUUUUCAUAGGCCUUGGAUAACAUUGACUGAUUGCAGUCCAAAUAUAUGUCAGUAAAAUUUAUUGUGACUAUAAUCUGAAUAACACAUAAAACACUAGCUAAUUAACUACAGGCUUUUUAGAAAACAGACAUUUUUAUGUAAACCCAAACAGGAAUGUUUCUGGUUUGUUUAAACAACUUGUUACAAAACCUGCUACGAGUUAAUAUAAUGUUAUAAUAGUAUGUGGUAGGAAAUGGGAAGAAGGGCACAUUGCUUAAGUCUGAAAUAGAUAAAUUAAAUACUGGGUGGGUGGACAGCUGGAUGGAUAGACAGACAGACAGAGUCUUGCAUGCCACCUAGCCCAGUGCUGCCCAUUCAAAUAGAUAGCACCUCUCCACUUAACAUCAGUUCCAAAACUUGGAUCUCUUGGAUUGUCAGUUCCAGAGAUUCAACCUAGGACUUCCUGCGUGAAAAUUGUUACCACAGAAUGAUAAUAGUGCUUAAAUAAACAUGAGUUUGUUCAAGUGUACUAAAAAAAUUUAACUAAAGCCUAUACUAGACAACAGGAAAUAAGAAGGCUUAAAUAUAGUUUAUCUAUAAGUUUUGAAAGCUGUGGGAGUUGGUGAGUGGCAAUGAGAUUAUGACAUUUGUUCCAUCAGAAGUAAGGAGAUGAAAGGAGAGAAAAGGAAAGUAACUUUUUCAUGAAAUAACUAUAAAGAUGUAGCUUGUAAAUGCAAGAGGCCCAAUGUAAUUAAAACAAAGCAUUUUG